UUCUUUUCGAGGUCGACCGCGUGGCUGGAAGACAUGGCCACUCCCGUCGGUGUUGAGCACGGCGAGCAGUCUCAGGCCUUUAGUGAUGAUGGGUGGUUAGGAGGGUUAAAAGUACUGGAUGAGAAAAUGCUUUCCAAACGUUGAGAAAAUGUUACUAUGUGAAGGGAGAGAGCUCAAGCCUGUCCUCGGCGUCAUAGGGCCGGCUUCUGCGGGGGAGAGCGCCUAACAACCUGGGCAGCCCCGUGCGCCUCCGCCGCGCGUGUGCUGAGCGUGCAUGCCCAGGGGUCUUCGGUGCCCGCGCACGGGCAGACUCUGACGAUGGUGGUUCUUAAUUCAGCAUCAGGAGUGUUAACGUGUGAAGACGUGAUUCCGCUUGGAGUGCCUUGAGGACGGCCCCAAUCGGUAGUUCAUAUUUAGCUUUACAGAUAGGAGUCAAUAGGAUUGUAAACUUCUGGAAAGCCGUAGUUUUAACAACGAGCCUUUUUUCCUCCCCCAGAGGCCUUUCUUUGUUUGGCAUCUGCAGAGACGGUGAAAAGCAGAGCUCCAGGUUGAAGGAUCAGAGUAAUAGAUGGAGCCCUUAACA
rnacentral:lncRNA from 1 species